CUGUUGAGGGAGCCUUGAAAGGUUCAAGGGGCAAUGUCCUUGCUGCUGAGUUGACUUCUGGUUCCAAAAGAAAGUCUACUUGGAAGAAAAAGAAGCCUGCUAAGAAGCAGAAGAAAGACAAGAAGCCAAAGAAGGAAGUUCAAAAGAAAAAGGCUAACGACAAAGGAAAAUGUUUCCACUGCAAUGUCGACGGCCACUGGAAGAGAAACUAUCCUUCAUACCUCGAGAGCCUGAAGAACAAGAAAGGUGACACACCUUCAGAAGGUAUAGACUUGCUCAUA
rnacentral:lncRNA from 1 species